GAGUCUAGUGGAGAAACAUGGGCCCAGAAACUGGUCUUUAAUAAGCAAAUCGGUUCCGGGUCGAUCCGGGAAAUCCUGCCGGCUCCGAUGGUGUAACCAGCUUUCCCCUCAAGUGGAGCACCGUGCUUUCACUUCAGAGGAGGAUGAAACCAUAAUCAGGGCCCACGCUAAAUUCGGUAAUAAAUGGGCUACUAUUGCCCGUUUACUAUCGGGUCGGACUGAUAAUGCUAUUAAGAACCACUGGAACUCUACUCUUAAACGUAAGUGUUGUUCCAUGUCUGAAGAUUUAAGCUUUGAAACUCCUCAACAGCCUUUGAAAAGAUCGUCUAGUGUAGGUCCUAGUACCAACUUUUCUUCUGGUAUGAAUCCGGGUAGUCCUUCCGGAUCCGACUUGAGUGAUUCGAGUCUUUCGGGGUUUCCCCAGUCUCUUGUUUAUAGACCUGUACCGCGAACCGGCGGGAUUUUCCCUCUUCCUCCUCUAGUUCAACCGAUCGAAACUGCUCCAUUUAUACCCGACCCACCCACUUCUCUUUGCCUCUCACUACCCGGAUCCGGCACCCGUGAAACCUCGAUUCAGACUGCACAACCAACCCAGCUAACUCAGCCUCCUCAAUCACCACCACCUCCUCCUUUGGCUUUGCCGCCGGUUGAUAAACCCGUACCACCACCAACAGCUGUUUUCAUGUCUCAGCUUCCUCAAACUAAGCAAAGUUAUGAUUUUUGUGUACCAGCUUUACCCAAAUCAGGAGAGAAACAGUUUUUUACUCCGGAGUUUUUGGGAGUUCUACAAGAUAUGAUAAGAAAGGAAGUAAGG
rnacentral:lncRNA from 1 species